AGCGAAGGGCACGCCCCGCGCGGGUGCCAGGGAGGCCGGCAGGGGCGUCCGCGGUCGCUGCUCACCUGCGCUCCCCGCUGCCCGGCCCAGCCCGCCUCGCCACCGAGUCUGGAAGCCCACACUCACCCCUUUACCCGGGAAACGCGGCCGGAGCCGGCGGCGGGUCGGGAGUCCGAGAUGGUAGAUCCCCCUCCAGGCGCCUCGCUGACAUUUUGUCCCGGACGGAAAACCUCCGCGCGUGCCCCUUAAAGACACAGCGCUGCAUUCACACGUCUGCGGGGAAAGGGGGGCCGUCACGUGUGGCCUUCGCCCGAAAGCGGUAGGGGAGUCGCUCUGAAACCGCCAAGGAUCGCGAGCGACAGAUUUGUGUUGGCCAGGGUUUUAAGAUGACGCAAUAGCUGAGUGUGGUUGAAAUGUAACUAUUGUUUUACAACUUUGCAUUAACCUUCCAAGACCUGAAUUCCCGGGCCUGAGUCUCAGAGCGCGGUUUGCAUCUUUGCAGGCUGUAGGCGCAUGAUGUCACAAGUUAUUGGAAGAAAUCCCUCCAACCUAGGUUGGGACAGAUGAAGGCGGCGCUUAUUGGUGUUCACCAAAACACCAGCAUGGUGUACCAGCUUUGGCUAGAUGAUGCUCAGGAAAACACAGAUCCUGGUGCCGAACAUGAGGACAGGGCAGGCCGAAGGAGAAAGUGGAAGGAGGGGAGCUUCUCUCUCAGCCUCAUCCUUCUGGGCCUGGAUGCUGGAGAGUCAUGAGGUGCUUCAGAGUACUCUGGGUGAGGAGGGAAAGAUGGUGCCCACCACAUGGAGGCCAGCCUAGGUCUUGUAUGAAACCUGUGAGGAGAUUCUCUCUCCCUUGCUGUCUUUGAAAAAGCAAGUUGCCAUGUGAAGAGGGCCAUAUAGCAUAGGAGCUGAAGGCAGCCUCCAACUGACGGCAAGAAAAUGAGGUCCUCAGUCUGACAACCUGCAAGAAACUGAAUGUUCUAAAAGCCACAUGAGCUUGGGAGCAGAUCUGACCCCAGCCAAAUCUCUGAAGUCCGCAGGCAGGAAAUGAAGAUCAGAAAAAGGCUAUUGUCUCAUGAAUAUGAGCCAGACUCCACAGAAGCUGGAGUCCUUCAUUAUGGAGCUAAACACAUACACCUGGCUUAGGAGUCAGAAAAACUGAAAGAGAAUUCAGGGAAGUAGAGAAAUUGCAAGCCCAGAUGCUGCUUCAUACCAAAGAAGCAAGUCAGCAGGUCAGCAACAAUGUGUAUCAGUUCCAAAAUGACUUACACAGGUACCAAGACAAGACAUUAUAUACACUUAUAUAGUCAAAUACUUUAAAACUGUUAACAAACUUGCUACAAUUGUCUCAUUUGUCUUUUAACCUUAAUAUCACAGAUCAAGUUUGUAAUCUCAAAAGUUCACCCUGGCUGCUGUGUGGAGUAUUCUCUUAUCUGCUCAUAUUACACUGUGCUUAUUCAUUCAUCAGUUAAUGGAAAUUUGGGUUGUUUCCUGAUUUUGACUGUAAUGAAUAAUGUUGCUGUAAACAUUCAUGUACAGUUUUGUGUGGACAUGCUUUUCUUUCUCUUGGGUAGGUUCCUAUGAGUGGAAUCACUAGAUUGUAUGGUAAAUGUAUGUUUAACUUUUAAAGAAACUGUCAAACUGUUUUCUAACAUGAACGGGCCAUUUUACGUUCUUAUCAACAAUAUAUGAUGGUUU
rnacentral:lncRNA from 1 species